rnacentral:rRNA from 1 species
CGCAUCUGUGCAUGCAGCAUAUCAAUAAGCGGAGGAAAAGAAACUAACAAGGAUUCCCUUAGUAACGGCGAGUGAAGCGGGAAGAGCUCAAAUUUGAAAUCUUCAAGGUUUUACCUUGACGAAUUGUAGUUUAAAGAAGUGUUUUCUGUUGAAGUUUUGGUAAAAGUUCUUUGGAAUAGGACAUCAUAGAGGGUGAGAAUCCCGUAUUUGACCAUUAUUUUCAGCUGUGUGAUACACUUUCAAAGAGUCGGAUUGUUUGGGAAUGCAGUCCAAAAUGGGUGGUAAAUUUCAUCUAAAGCUAAAUAUUGGCGAGAGACCGAUAGCGAACAAGUACCGUGAGGGAAAGAUGAAAAGAACUUUGAAAAGAGAGUUAAACAGUACGUGAAAUUGUCAAAAGGGAAGCGUUUGACACCAGUGUUGUUUUCUCGAAAAUCAAUUAAAAAGAGUUUGAUUUUGUUGUGUAUUGACCUUAACAGCUUGCAUUUCAAUUUUCUUGCUUUUUUUAAUGCACUUUUCGUUUAACAAGUCAACAUCAGUUUCUUUUGUUGUAAAAAGGUCAUUGGAAGGUGGCUUUCCUUUCGGAGAAAGUGUUUAUAGCCUUUGACUCCUGCAAUCGGAGAGACUGAGGUCUGCAGCGUAGAUCCUUCGGGGUUAGAUACAUUUGUGCUAAGUUAUAGCUUUUUAUAGACAACUUGUUGACUAUGAUUAGUCUUGUAGCUUACUCGCUUAUGCUAUUUUACCUACGCUUAGGAUGUUGACACACGCGCGUGCUCG